CUUCUACUCCCUCCGUCCGAAAAUACUUGUCAUUGAAAUGGAUGUAUCUAGAUGUAUUUUAGUUCUAGACACAUCCAUUUUGAUGACAAGUAAUUCCAGACGGAGGGAGUACUUG
rnacentral:pre_miRNA from 1 species